rnacentral:lncRNA from 1 species
GAGGGAUAGAGACACAGACCGAGAGAGAAAAAGGCUGUAGGCUUUAUUGAGCAGAUUGAAAGGACAAAGCUUCCACAGUGUGGAAGGGGUCCCGAGCGGGUAGCCAGAGUUAGAUUAUGUGACUGCCUUUUAAACUCUUUAAGGCCGGAAAUACGUGUGGCGAGAUGUUACCAGAGCGAGAAACAAAGGCAAUUAACCGUUUGUAACAUGUCUUAGAUCUUGAGGAAAACUGGAAUUGCAACUUAGGUUUUAUCUACUUUAUGAACUUGCAGCAGCAUGGCAAAGGAGACGGGAUCUUACAGGACUUUGUUACAAAGACCGAAGUAAGUCCUGAUGCAGGAAAUGAGUGACUUUCACAGCUUUCUGAGCCCCUACUCAACCCAGGAAGUCCAGCUGGCACCUCCUCUGGAUCACAAGUUUCAAGUGAACCUGGAUAUUUCAAAUAAUCUUUCUUUUGCCGUAAAUUACAAGAUUUUCCAGUUUGACCACUGGCGCUUAACCUAACUACAUACUGAAGGCACUUCAAGCUGGUGUGGGUGGACGUUCUUUCCUGUUGAAAAGAGAACAAAACCCUCAACAAGGAGCAGCUGGAGACAAACUUGGAGCGAGGAAAAGCAGAAAGUGUUGCGAAGCAUAAUCAUUUAAAUCACAGAUUAAGUCAACAUAAUAGCAGAGAAAAUGCAGGAAAUUCAAAAUGUUUGACUAUAGUGGCAACCUCACAGAGUCUUUUCUUUGGGAUCAACAGAGAAAAUGAGCUAAAUGAAUACAAUUUUAUAUCUCCUGACAUAGAAGUAAAGGAUUCAUGAGCAAAUGUUUUAUUUUAUACUAUAAUUUUUAAAAUAUUUCCUUUAAAUACAAAGCCUUAACCAACAAAAUGUAAC